rnacentral:rRNA from 1 species
GACGUAGGGGGCCAGCGUUGUUCGGAAUUACUGGGCGUAAAGCGCACGUAGGCGGACUGUUAAGUCAGGGGUGAAAUCCCGGGGCUCAACCCCGGAACUGCCUUUGAUACUGGCAUUCUCGAGUCCGGAAGAGGUGAGUGGAAUUCCGAGUGUAGAGGUGAAAUUCGUAGAUAUUCGGAGGAACACCAGUGGCGAAGGCGGCUCACUGGUCCGGUACUGACGCUGAGGUGCGAAAGCGUGGGGAGCAAACAGG